GAGCGCAACCCUCGCCCUUAGUUGCCAUCAUUCAGUUGGGCACUCUAAGGGGACUGCCGGUGAUAAGCCGAGAGGAAGGUGGGGAUGACGUCAAGUCCUCAUGGCCCUUACGGGCUGGGCUACACACGUGCUACAAUGGUGGUGACAGUGGGCAGCGAGACCGCGAGGUCGAGCUAAUCUCCAAAAGCCAUCUCAGUUCGGAUUGCACUCUGCAACUCGAGUGCAUGAAGUUGGAAUCGCUAGUAAUCGCGGAUCAGCAUGCCGCGGUGAAUACGUUCCCGGGCCUU
rnacentral:rRNA from 1 species